CAUUUCCAGGUCGCCGGCUCCGUCACAGACGCCUCUAAUCACCUUGGCGGUCAAAUAAAUGUUAUUUACUCAAUGCAAAAAACCGAAAACGAAAACGAAACGAGAACUAAAACCGAAACCAAAAGCGUGUGAAGUCGUCGAGCGUCGGAGGCAAACUGAUAAGCAACCUUAUAUGCGAACGCCCAGCGAACCCAGAAAUCGUUUAAAUAAACCCAAGUACCGGUUUGUAAAGAUCUCACUGGAUUACAACUACUUAUGAGUUCAGUAGGCUGCUUUCACCUGUCGCAGAACCAGUCUCGACGAGUUGCUCCCAACCACUAAUUCAAAGCCCUCGGAGUGGUAGUAAUUAGCUUCGAAUUCAAUUCACUAUUCAAAUUCAACAGACGCUGUUCACUGAUCACUGAUCAUUUAAAAUAUCUGGUUUCCAACAAUAAAUAAAAUUAAAGGAA